rnacentral:tRNA from 1 species
GCCUGGGUGGCUCGGUCGGUUAAGCAUCUGACUUCAGCUCAGGUCAUGAUCUUGCAGUUCGUGGGUUCAAGUCCCUCAUCGGGUG